CUCUAGAAUGAUCUCUGAAAUUUGGGCUGACCGCGCCCAUUGCCACACCCCAUGCCCCACCCCCUACUACACCCACCACAUAAGCCCCUUAUUGAUCCAGAAAAAACCUGCACACUGUAGCAAGAGUCACAUGUAGUAAGUAAUACCUGGAAGGCACAGUGAGUCUUGCUCCUGCUAAGAAACUUCAGACUCCCAAAAUGUCUAUCAUAAUUCAUUAUAUAACAAGCGGUAAUUAAUCAAUGGAGGUGUAUUAUACUUAGUUAAAUGAAGUGCAGAUCAUUACAGAUCUCUGAGUAAUUAUUCUAUGUUCGUGAUUAAUUAUGUGGCUGAUUACUGAUGGAGGAUCAGCACCAGUCAAAUAUGAUUUUUUUUUUUUUUUUACAAUUUACUGAACGUACUGCUAAGAAUGUCUCAGGGACAAUGGGGCUCAGGUAGCCUACAGUACAGUGACAAUGGGGCUCAGGUAGCCUACAGUACAGGGACAAUGGGGCUCAGGUAACCUACAGUACAGGGACAAUGGGGCUCAGGUAGCCUACAGUACAGGGACAAUGGGGCUCAGGUAGCCUACAGUACAGGGACAAUGGGGCUCAGGUAGCC
ensembl:lncRNA